GUGAAAGCUGCUCCUGGUCCUUGAUCCUGUCCUGGGAAGCUCCAGGUGACCCAGGUGAUUUCUGUCAGAAAUUCUUUGCAGUCCCACCCCAGAGCAGGGUCCCACCACCACCCAGGGUGCAGCAGAACCUCCUUUCCCUCUGUGCUGCUGCAGAGUUUCCUUUCAUUAUUUUGCAUUUUAAAGAAGAUAAAGACACCAAAUACCACCAAAGCUACAUGUCUCCAGGAAUAUCUCUAUUUCAGUCUCAGAUGUGAUGGUACCUCAGCACUGGCUGGGAUCCUCUGUUCUCAUCAGCACACACCAUCAGGGCCUGUUUUAGCUCCUGAGUCCUUCUGUAACUGCUGUGGUGGUGCUGCAUUGAUAAAAUAUUCAAAUGUGAAUGACAUGAGCAGGAGCUCUCUGGGAGGAAUAAGGAAUCAUGCUACAAUCAUGAAGAGAUCACAUUUUAAAGCAACCAAAUGCAGGUCCAUGGACGAGGGGAGCUGAAAUUCCUGGGAUUUGUUCCAGUGUCUGCCCAGGUUUAAUUCCAUUAAGCUCAACAAAGCUGCUGUUAAAAUUUCUUGUGUCCUUGUGCUGGUGUGAAUGGCUGUGGGAGUCAGGUCAGGCUGAGAUGGGAACAUGCAGCUCCCAGGAUUUAACUGGGGCCAAACCCACCUGUCCUGAGCCUAAAGCUUCCUCUGUGGUGUGUAACCACUUCAGCACACAGAUUCACCAUCGAGGCCGGCAGGAUUAACAAUAUUCCCCGGGCAGGAACCGAAAGCACAGCAGAGGAAUGGGUGAGAGGAUUUGCUGCCAGCACCCCUGCUUUGUGGCUGGUGGUUUUGGGGAGCUGCUCCAGGUGCACCAGACAGGGACAGAGCUUCUCUUGCAGGUGGAGGAGCUGAGCCUGAAAUCCUGCCAGCCAGGAACUGGAGAGCUCGGCUCUGCUGACACUGCAAGGCUCCUGGACAAGCCCAGAAGGAACUUCAGCACCUGGCUCAGCUCUGGGAGGACUGCAGAGGCAGCUGAAGGAUUUUGGAUGCAGGCACUUUAAGACCUUUCUGUGACAGUAACCCAUGGAACUUGCUGGGUCUGUCUCCUCUGAAGUCCCCAAGAACUUUCCACCAUCACAAGGAAGAUUGAGCUCCAAAUGGAAGACAGAAGGGGUAACUUUUGGUUUCCACUGCAGUGUGAGUUGUGCAGUUUCCCUGGUGGAGGUCUGACACAAUGAGCUCAUCCUAUGCAAUGGCUCCUGUUUUCUUUGGGAUAUUACAGACACCUGUUUGCCCAAAGUGCCACAAAGAUGCCUCAGCAGAACUAGAACUCGAGUCAAGUCUUGAGCUGUUGACUAUUUGCAGGGGCAGAGCUCUGCCUUCCCAGAAUUUCUCUUCUCUGGAGAAGGAAGACAGAAUUUUUAGGUGACUAUAAAUUCCCCUUGCUGUUUUAGAGGUACCUGUCUGUAGACAGCCUGAUCCAGUGGAAUCAUAUGCUGAAGAAUGAACUAACACAAACACCCUCCUGCCUUUCCCCUUCCUUGUGUGUCCCUGCACACAAAUCUCCUAAAUGGUCAUUACUUCUCAAAUUCUGUGCAACUCAUGUUCUGUUUGGCUCAACACCCACCACGUUUCCCACCUAGUAUUGAUUUUGAUGGAGAUGCUGAAAUCAAAUUGCUGCUGCCUUUUUGAGAAGGAUCUUCACAACUUAAGUGCCCAAAACAGCCUUAGGUAGCAGAGGAAUAAAAGAUAAUUACACUGUUUCAUUCAGAAACACGCAGAAUUAUUUUUAUCAAAACACGUGGUAGCACAGCAAAGUUCAUCUUCCCGUGUACUAAUCAAUACACACGAAUUUUUGCCUUGACUUUGAUCAUGCUACCCAAUACAUGAUGUGAGAAUCAAUAUAGCAGGAAAAAGGACUCUGAAUUUGACUUUUCAGCACAGAACGUGGCAGAUGCCUGGGAGAGCUCUGGUCUGUUUCGUGUGAGACUGGAAAAAUCCUAAAACGUGUCCAGCUAAAAAAAAAAAAAAAAAAAAAAAAAAGGUUGGGAGUGUUUAUUCCUCUAGUUCUUCUUUUUGUUUUCAUUAUUUCAAGUGUCAACAUGUCUGGUAUCAGGAGGUGUGAGUGUAAAGUAACAAAGUGGAGAUAAAGUAAGAUGUAAGCAAAUGCCACUCAGAAGGAGUAUUGGGUCAAAGAUCUGAUCUAUGUGAUUUGCAGCUGCUGCACCUGUGGCAUCCAGUAUUGCAAGAUCCCCAGUUUUAUUUGCAUUCUGUUUGAUGCAUCCAGACUUAGAAACACCUGAAAGAUGUGUAUUUUUAUUUAAAAAAACCUGAGAAGGAGCCAUGUAAGCAUUGCUCUCUGGGCAGUGGCUCUGGGAGGUUGAUGUUUAGGGGAGAUGGAGCCCAGCUAUGUUUUUCUAGGUGUGCAUGGCAACCUGCUGAUUGCUGUCUCGCCAGAAUAAACUCUAAACCUUCCCAGCUGUUCUUAAUCUGGCCCCUUAACCUUUAAAAAAGCCAGAGGCUUUCCAUUCCUCAGAGCCAAACUCUGCUAACAAUAUCUAGGUUGUUUUCAAACCAAGCUUCAAACAUAAAAAUGACUAAUAAAUCCAUAUUCCAUAAUCGUUAGGCUGGAAAACUAUUAUUUUAAAACAGACUCAGUUUUUAUGACCCAUUUCUAAUAAAAAUCCCAAGUAUGCUUCACUAAUGCUCCCAUUCCAGAUACUCAGACCCCGGAUGAUAGGCAUGCUAUCCAGAUAGAUACACCAAUAAAUCUGUAAAGGCUGUAAAUCUGUCUCAAAUUAGUGAUCUGUAGAUGUAGGAGGGGGAAGAGGGCUGGGAAAUUCUGUUUUCUGAUCUGCUGGUUUCCUGACAUAAGGCUCUGUCACCUCACAGCUGGUGACUGUACUUUUCUGUGGCUUGGAUUAAGUGCUAAAUACAUUACUCCACACUCUUUGGGGGACCGGGGUUUUGCACAGACUUUUAGUCUGAUUCCACUGGUGUGAAGAGCAAUUUUGGGUCAGAGUCACGACCAGAGGAGGGUGAGAGAGGCGGGUUUUGAGGAAGGGAACAGCAGCUUUGGGAUGGAGCUGCAGCCCAGAGAUCCACAACGCUGGGGGAUUCCCGUUCGGGCUUCCUCCUGAAACAACACAGCCCGCAAGGAUCACAAACUCACAAACAUCCAUCUUCUUGACUCUUUUACUGCCUCCUAAUUGCCCCCACCCUGCCAGGCGGAUUUAUGCCCGGCCUGUCGUGACCGGUGCCAGGGAGGAGA